UGUUUUGUGUCUUAUAUGGUAAAAGCGCCGGUUUAGCGAAUACGCAAUCGUGGGUUCGAAUCCCACCAGAACGU
rnacentral:tRNA from 1 species